rnacentral:rRNA from 1 species
UACGGGGGGGGCAAGCGUUGUUCGGAAUUACUGGGCGUAAAGGGCUCGUAGGUGGCCAACUAAGUCAGACGUGAAAUCCCUCGGCUUAACCGGGGAACUGCGUCUGAUACUGGAUGGCUUGAGAUUGGGAGAGGGAUGCGGAAUUCCAGGUGUAGCGGUGAAAUGCGUAGAUAUCAGGAGGAACACCGAUGGCGAAGGCAGGUCUCUGGGCAUUAACUGACGCUGAGGAGCGAAAGCAUGGGGAGCGAACAGG